rnacentral:rRNA from 1 species
AUACGGAGGGUGCAAACGUUGUUCGGAAUUACUGGGCGUAAAGCGCGCGUAGGCGGUUUGUUAAGUCAGAUGUGAAAGCCCAAGGCUCAACCUUGGACGUGCAUUUGAAACUGGCAGACUUGAGUACUGGAGGGGAUGGUGGAAUUCCCGGUGUAGAGGUGAAAUUCGUAGAUAUCAGGAGGAAUACCGGUGGCGAAGGCGACCAUCUGGCCAGAUACUGACGCUGAGGUGCGAAAGCAUGGGGAGCAAACAGGAUUAGAAACCCUAGUAGUCC